UUGUGAAGCCUGAAUCAGAAAGAAGAAGUCAGAAUCUAGGAUAUGUAACGGCUGUAUAACAUGAUAGCUAAUGGUACUAUGACAUUGUUACUCAACUUCUGUUUUGAAGAAGAUCUGCUCAAAUGUCAUCAACAAAUAUGACCGUUACAGUCAUCUUCAUCAUUGGUCAUCUUCCAUUCCUGAACAGGAUCACAUGACCACAACCAGUAAAGCUGAGGACAAUUCGAUCGCAAGGGUCCUUCAGAUACCUUCACAGGGACACACACCCUCCUCUUCUGCUCUGUUGUCCCUCAUCUUUUCUUCAUGUCUGUAUUUUUGUUAUUUCAAGAAAAUUACAUAAAUGUGGUACAAAACCUUUUUACUCCAAGAGAGCUGGGAUUCAUCAAAUAUAAAUGAACAGAUGAAGCUAUCUCCAUCCCUGUGGUGGAAGACAGGACUCAUAGUUAAUCCUGUGGAAACUUUAAACUGCAUUGUUGUAAUUAAAAAGAUCAUAGCUUCUGUUGUUAUCCUCCUGAAUAUCUCCCACAAAAGUUCAUGUGUUGACUGCUUGAUCCUCAGACCAGGUAUUAAUGGGUAGGAACUUUAGGAGUGGGGAACCUAAUGACAAUUAAGCCAUUGGGAACAUGUCCUUGAAGUGAAUAUUGGGACCCUGGUAUCUUCUUGUCUUUAUUUAUUUUGUUUCCUGUCUGUCAUGGUGUAAACAAGCUCCUUGACCACACACACAUACACAGACACACAGACACACACACACACACACACACAUGCCUACACACACCAUGCUAGACCUGCUGUCACAGGCCCAGAGCAACACAGCAAAGUGAUCACAGACUGAGCCCAUGGUCCAAAGCCAACAGUUUUUCCUUGUAAGUUGAUUCUCUCAGUUGUUUGCCACAGUGAUGAGUAUCUUAGUAUCACAGUAUGCAACUUUAAAUUUUUACUCUCACUCAAAGAAGCUACUUUGGUGAAUUCAUUUGUUUUGAAAAUGAAGUGUUCUGAUUGUUACAGUGUAUGAAAGUGGUCACCAAACUUUAGUUGGUCCAAAUCAAGAUACAUUCACGUCAUCUAAAGAUAUUCAGUCAAUGAUACAAAGUCUACCCUUUGAAAACCAGUAAUCCCAAAACUACCUUGACAGAUUAUUUUAAAAUCCCAAAUUGGUCUAAACUUCUGUAACUAAAUCAAGAUAUUUAUAGUAUUUGGGAAGUCCAAACUAUGGCUUCCUGCACAUCAAAUCUGAGUGCUCAACUAUUUCAGUUUUCAUCAGUCUACAAAUCUUGCGUCCUGGUGACCUCUGAAGCCCAGGCAACUCAGAAUUAAGCAGAGAAUCUAAACUCAGCAGCUUCUGAAAAUUCCAUCUUUCACUUCACACCCCCACUGUGAUGCAAUUUUGAAGCAUAAUGAUAUAUACCUAACUACACCAGGAUGGAGGCUGUGUCGCUAUGGCCUUCGCUUUGUAGCCGCUGGGGCUCUGAACCACACAGAUUCAACAGUUACUCCUCUGUUCUUUACUGAACUCAGACAGGCACAGAGUCUCUUUCCUCUCUGUUUGUUGGUCUUUAAGGGCUCUAACCCAGUGGUCAAACAGCUAAAAGGUUCUAAGUUCAUUAAUUCUUAAAUCUCAUAUAUGCAAGAAUGAAAAAUCAAACACUGAAUGAAAACCUCUCAUGUAGGAACCAACAGUGGUCAGAUGAGACAAAGCAAAGAUGUAUAUGAGUAAGAAUCAGUAUAGCUUGUGUGGGAAAAUGAAAAUCAUCAAGGCAUAUAAUCCACAAUGAUUCUGGGCACAAGCAUCGAAGUCCUCACACCAUAAACAGUACGGUUUGCACUUAAGCGAAGAUAAACUCAUUAACCUUUGUAGGCAGCCCAGAAUUUACAUAUCACUUAGACCUGAGCUCUUUGUCACAUCACCAUGUCAUCAGCCUAUCACUUUUGUGGACCUCAAUUUUAUCACAUAAUCUCCCCUUCCAUGGAAAGAAUAGAUAAUGAAGAGACCCCAAAUAUGGAUUGACUCUGAUUAUACCCAAAUUUGU